rnacentral:lncRNA from 1 species
ACACUUGUGACACCCUCUACGCUCUGCUGUGCUGGCACCAGGAUGGAGUGGCAGAUAUGACAGACAAGGUCUUUGGCUUCACAGAGUUUUAAGGACAAAGCAUCCAGAACAGGAAGAGCUCAAACAAACACAAGUCAUCUUCCAGGCAGCAGGAUUGUAUUUGAAUAUUGAGGGUCUACCUGCUACAAUCCAGGGGAACCCAUCUGCAGGCAGGAAUUUGGACUUUAUUUUAAUUGAACUUCCAAAGGACCCAGAAAGCUGUUGGCCUUUCUUUAUAUCAUCUGGCAUAAACAUGAAAAAAAAAUGUGCACACAAUAAAU